rnacentral:rRNA from 1 species
CCUACGGGUGGCAGCAGUGGGGAAUAUUGGACAAUGGGGGCAACCCUGAUCCAGCCAUGCCGCGUGUGUGAAGAAGGCCCUCGGGUUGUAAAGCACUUUCAGUGAGGAAGAACGCCUGGUGGUUAAUACCCAUCAGGAAAGACAUCACUCACAGAAGAAGCACCGGCUAACUCCGUGCCAGCAGCCGCGGUAAUACGGAGGGUGCGAGCGUUAAUCGGAAUUACUGGGCGUAAAGCGCGCGUAGGUGGCUUGAUAAGCCGGUUGUGAAAGCCCCGGGCUCAACCUGGGAACGGCAUCCGGAACUGUCAAGCUAGAGUGCAGGAGAGGAAGGUAGAAUUCCCGGUGUAGCGGUGAAAUGCGUAGAGAUCGGGAGGAAUACCAGUGGCGAAGGCGGCCUUCUGGACUGACACUGACACUGAGGUGCGAAGGCGUGGGUAGCAAACAGGAUUAGAUACCCCAGUAGUC